AUAAAAUCCAAAGUCAAAUGGCAGGUUCACUAAUUUCUCUUAUAUUCAGUAACUCAUUUGUUUCACACAAUAAAUAUGAGUAUUCAUUAAAAUAGUUAUAGUCAUAUUCUCAAUCCUGCAACAGAGGAACCUGUGGUUCAUUCAUUCAUUGGGCUAAAGCUUCGUUCUAUAUUAUUAUUCUAGAUUAUUCCACGUAAAUUGCCUAGAAAAUAUAUUACCAGAGACUACUACAAAUUACACAUAAAUAUAUUGAUAGUCACAAAUUAAAAGUAAACUCAAGAAACAGAAUUUAUAUACACAAGUAUAUCUCAUUUUUAUUGUGCUUUGCUUUAUUGUGCCUUGAAGAUACUGCAUUUUUUAUAAGACCUUCCACCAGCAAAAAGAUUAUGACUUGCUGAAGGCUCAGAUGAUGGUUAGCAUUUUUUAACAACAAAGUAUUGUUAAGUAACAUGUGUACAUUGUUUUUUUAGACAUAUGCUAUUGCAGACUGAAUAGACUAUAAUAUAGUGUAAACAUAACUUUUAUAUGCACUGGGAAACCAAAAAAUUCAUGCGACUCACUUUUAUUGUGAUAUUUGCUUUAUUGUGGUGGUCUGGAACCAAACCUGCAAUAUCUCCAAGGUAUACCUGUGUAUAUAUUCUAAAGAAAUAGAAUAUAUGAAUAGUCAUAUAACAUGUAAAGAUGAAAUGUUAACUAGAAAUAGUUACACAAAAGAAAGCCCACACUCAAUAGCUUAAAUGGUAAAUUCUACCAACAUUUAAUGAAGAUUUAAUACCAAUUCUUCACAAAAUCUUCCAAAAAUAGAAGAAGAGUUAACACUUCCCAAUUCAUUCUGCGAGGCCAGUUUUAACAUGAGAGCAAAGCAAGACAAAAGCAUGAAAAUAAAGAAGAUUAUGAACCAAUAUCCCAUAUUAAUAUAGGCACAGAACUUGUCAUAAAAUACUAGCUGAUUGAAUACAGCAACAUAUAAAAAUGAUUACAUACAUGACCAAGUGGGUUUUUCUCACAAAAGCAAUUUUGGCUUAAUAGCCAAAAACCAAUCAAGGUAAUACACAGUAUUAUUUGAAUAAAGUAUAAGAAAUUAUCAAUUUAGUAGACACAGAAAAACAUUUGACUGAUCCAAAACCCAUUCAUGAUAAACCACCUAAAAAGUACUGAUAGAAGGAAACUUCUGAGACCUGCUAAAAGACAUCUUUGAAAACCUUACAGUCAACAUUAUACUUAAUAGUGAAAGACAGGAUACCUUACCUGUAAGUUUGGGAACAAGACAAGAAUUUCCAGUUGUACCACUCUAUUCAACAUUGUACUGGAGGUAUUAGCUACAGAAAUCACACAAGAAAAACAAAGAAAAUCCUCCAAACUGGAAAAGAAGAAGCAGAUCUGUAUUUUAUUGCAGAUGACAUUGAUACUGACCCUGAUACCAGUUUCCCUACAUUAAAUCCAGCAUAUAUGGGGUUAAAACCAAAACACUAAUUCCCUGCUUACUCCCUGGCUUCCUGGCUCCAGAAUCCACCAUCCUCCACGGAGACAGACACCACCAAGGACAAGCACCUGGAUUCAUUAUCUCCUCCUCGCAAAGAGAUACAGGCUGGUGGGAAAGCCAAGACCAGCAAGGCCAUGUGCUCCUCCUCCCCUAAGUAAACCCCCAAAUAAAAACCCUUCCUUUCAGCUUCUCGAGGAGUUUAGGAUUUCAGCGUUACCUGCCCUCUCUCCUCGCUCAGUGCUGUACAAUAAUAAAAUUCCCACUUUCUUCCACUACACCCAGUGUCAGAGAUUGGCUUGCUGUGCAAGGGGUGAGCAAACUCACUUCAGGUUUGAUAUCAUUAUCAACUCCAAAUAUCCUCUUGUGGUAUUUUAAAUUAAAGAUAAGAUAUUAUAUAAUUAAGUUAGUAGAAGUUUUACUACCUAUAUCUAACAGAUGAACAGAAAAAAUAAUGAAAAUACCAUUAUCAUAUGUAAUAAAAUACAAAUAAUUUCUUAAUACCAUAAUAAGCAGAUAUAGAAUAUUUUAUGCUCAAAAUGCUAGGUUUCUACAACCACUGAAGAUUUCACAUAAAAUAUUAUAGCAUUUUAAGUAUAAUAUUUCACCUGGAGACACAAAACAACAAUAAAUGAUUAUAUUUGAUGAUGGAUAAUAGGCCAUAGACUCUUGGCCUAUAGGUUGGUGGGGAAAAUUUCAUAUGAAUGGUCGGAUAUUCUAAACCACUUCCUUGCAAAAGGAAAUACAAGAAAAGAGAAAAGAUAUAUUUAAUUCAUUUCUUAUAUAAGGAAAUCUCAUCACUGGAGUGCCAUCGCAUCACCUUUACCAUAUUCAAUUGUCUAGAACAAGUCACAAUCUGGCCAAUGUCAAGGGGAGAGGAUGAUGAAGGGUGUAACAAAAGCAAGCAGAGAUCAAGGGGCUGUUGUAGAAUUCUGCCUACCACACUCACUUUUGUACAGAAACUUGACCUAACAUUUCACAUUAGUGGAGAAUUUUUGUUGUAGUAAAAUAUGGUUAUAUAAUGACAUAGUUGAACUCAACAACAGCAUCAAUCAACUGGAUGUAAUAGAAAUCUGUAUUGGGGCUAGCCUGGUGGCACCGUGGUUAAGUUCGCAUGUUCCACUUUGGCAGCCUGAGGUUCGCUGCUUCAGAUCCCUGGUGCAGACAUGGCACCACUUGGCGAGUCAUGCUAUGGCAGGUGUCCCACAUAUAAAGUAGAGGAAGAUGGGCAUGGAUGUUAGCUCAGGGCCAGUCUUCCUCAGCAAAAAGAGGAGGAUUGGCAGCAGAUGUUAGCUCAGGGCUAAUCUUCCUAAAAAAAAAACAACAAAAGAAAUCUAUAGUCUAUUUCAUCCAAAACCAGCAGAAUACACAUGCUUCUUAAGCUCAUAUGGAACAUUCACAAGAUAGACCACAUUCUGGGACAUAAAACACACCUGAACAAAUUUAAAAGUAUAGAAAUCAUACAAUGUCUGCUCUCAGAUCACCACAGAAUUAAACUAGAAAUCAAUAAUACAAAGAACUGGAAAAAUGCAAAAUAUACUGAGAUUAAACAACAUACUUCUAAAUAACCAUGGGUCAAAAAAGAAACCUCAAGAGGAAUUUAAAAAUAUUUGGAACUAACUAAAUGAAAAUGAUAACAUAGCUUAUCAAAUUUGUGGAAUGCAGCAAAGGCAGUGCUUAGGGAGAAACUUAUAGCACUGUUGUGUCUUUGUUAAAUUAACAUUUAUUGAGUAGAGCCCUGGGGUUUCGGAUGGUGAGCCACAGUUCAACAAAGGACCACAAGGAAAUUGAAAUGAUGAAGUUUAUUACCCACAGGUCCUGGAGGAGGUACACAACACCCCUUCAGGAGCCACACAGGAAGCUCAAGCCAGGGUGUAGGCAGACAGCAGCAUUCUCUGGGACACAUGCCUUUAUUUGGGUUCACAGUGGAGUGCUUUUGUGUUCCUGAGCUAAGGUUGGAUUGGUUUAUUCUGGUGAGUUUCACCAGGGUCUUAUCUAAGGGACACACAGGGGGAAGACCCCACUCACCAGUCUAAGGCCCAAGAACUACACUAACCCUGCCCUAUUGUCUGUUUAGGAAAAAUUCACUUAAAAAGGUAAAAUGUUACAUUAGAAAACCUUCAACUUAAUGGAAAAGAAAUCAAUAAAGAAGAAGUAGGACUUAAAAAGACAUGAGAGCUGUUGAAAACAAAAAGGAAAAUGUGGAUGUAAUUGGAAUUAUAUCUAAAAUACCCAAUGUGAUAGGUCACAUAAUCCAAUCAAGAGUUGGAGAUUAUCACCAUAGAUUUAACAACAACAAAAAGAUCCCACUAUAUGCCCCCUACAGGAAAUGCUUUUAGACUCAAAGAUGCAAAAGACUGAAAGUUAAAGGAUGGGGAAAAGAUACAUAUGUAAACACUACCUACCAGAAAACUGGAGGCACUAUCUUAACAUCAGGAAAAAAACAGACUUUAAAACAAAAAACAUUACCUGAGAAACAGGGAUAUAUCAUGAAAAAGGGUAAUUCAUCAGGAAGCUAUAAUAAUUAUAAACAUAUAUGCACCUAAUAACAGAGUACCAAAAUAAAUGAAGCAAAAGUGACAGAAAUGAAGGGAAAACAAAUAAUAAUAACAAUCAGAGACUCCAAUAUCCCACUUUGAAUAUUAUACACAACAACUAGGCAAAAGAUCAACAAGGAAAUAAAAGACUUGUAAAACACUAUAAACCAAGUAUACCUAAGAUAGCUACAGAAUACUACCCAACAACAAAAUAUAUGUUCUUCGCAAAUGCUCAUGGAACUUUCUUCAGGGUAGAACAAAUGCUAGGACAUAAAACAAACUUCAUUAAAUUUAAAACACUACGAAUAAAUACAACAUGGUUUGUGACAACAAUGGAAUGAAGUUGGACAUCAACUUAGAAAAAAUUGGAGAAAUUCAGAAACAUGAGGAAAUUAAACAACAUACUCCUAAACAACCAAUGUGUCAAAGAAGAAAUCAAUACCAAAAUGAGAAUAAUAGUUUGUGUUGAACGGAAAUAAGCACAAUACACAAAAGUUUAUGGGCUGCUUCUGAAAUAGUACUUAGAGAAACAUUUAUAGCUAUAACUGCCUAUACUAACAAAGAAGAGAGAUCUCAAAUCAAUAACCUAAUCUUCCACCUUAACACAUGUGAAA
rnacentral:lncRNA from 1 species